UUUAUGCAAACUAAGGCCCUUUUUUGUGAUAUAUGUGCUCCCUUUAAAAUGAUGUUGUAGGUGACUACUUUCAGGAACUCCAAGGGGAACCAAUUUGAUUAACAGUUCAUGAAGGCUGCUCAUCAGGGAAGUCAAUACAGACUUUCCUAUCAGUAACAGAUGAUUUGAAAGCCAUUCUUCUGACUAACACACUCAGCUAAAGUCAGCUGUAUUAGGACUACAAAUUGCAGACCCCAAUUACUUUUUAAUGAAAACCAGGAAGGAGCCUUCAAUGUGAGUUUUCUAAGUAUGUAUUGCACCUGGAAACAAUGUUAGUAAGCAGGUACAGAGCUGUUAUAAAAGCCAGUUCUUGCUGCGAUUGGUUAUUUUCUGAAUUUUCUGCUGUUUGUUAGCUACCAUAGAGCAGUCAUUUCCUCAAGAAAGUUUUCAGGAUGAAGACCUCCUUGGUUGCUCAUCAGCAACAGGAAACGCUCCCUUCAUGGACACUCCAUCAUGUCCAGCUGUACCAUAUGAAAAAGAAAAAAGCCUAUUCAGACUACAUGUACAGAAUCCUUAAGCAGGUUCCUCAAGGAACAAAUAAAUACUGUGGUGCACUAGAUAUGCUUCGCUCCCUAAACAAACCUCAUCUAUAUGGAAAGGUGGCUUUGGAGGCCUCAAGGAUGUCCCACUAUAACAAGAAGCAUCUAAUCACCAGCAGAGAAGUUCAUGUGGCAGUAAGAGUAGUCCUUCUUGUGGAGGCCUUGAAGGGCAGUUUGUUCUCAACCAAACAUGUAAAUUCUGCAUGAAAUAAGUUCUGCUCAAAUUCUGGAAAGCUAUUUUUAAAACUGACUACUUUUUUCAUCUCAUUUUUUGUAAUAAAGGCAUGUUUGACAGCUGAUUGAAUGGCUCA
rnacentral:lncRNA from 1 species